CGAUCCCGCAUGGGGACGAGGUAAAAGAUUUAUCGCACAAAGAUGGGCUCGCGUCCCAUUAGCUAGUUGGUGAGGUAACGGCUCACCAAGGCAACGAUGGGUAGCCGACCUCAGAGGGUGAUCGGCCACACUGGAACUGAGACACGGUCCAGACUCCUACGGGAGGCAGCAGUGGGGAAUAUUGGGCAAUGGGCGCAAGCCUGACCCAGCAACGCCGCGUGAGGGAAGAAGGUCUUCGGAUUGUAAACCUCUGUCCUUGGGGACGAAAAAAAUGACGGUACCCAAGGAGGAAGCUCCGGCUAACUACGUGCCAGCAGCCGCGGUAAUACGUAGGGAGCGAGCGUUGUCCGGAAUUACUGGGCGUAAAGGGUGCGUAGGCGGCUAGGCAAGUCAGAUGUGAAAUCCCCGGGCUUAACUCGGGUGGUGCAUUUGAAACUGCUUGGCUUGAGUGCAGGAGAGGAAAGCGGAAUUCCUAGUGUAGCGGUGAAAUGCGUAGAUAUUAGGAGGAACACCAGUGGCGAAGGCGGCUUUCUGGACUGUAACUGACGCUGAGGCACGAAAGCGUGGGGAGCAAACAGGAUUAGAUACCCUGGUAGUCCACGCUGUAAACGAUGGAUACUAGGUGUGGGGGAGAUACAACCUCCGUGCCGCAGCAAACGCAAUAA
rnacentral:rRNA from 1 species